rnacentral:rRNA from 1 species
UGCUUUACACAUGCAAGUCUAACGGCAGCAAGGACUUCGGUUUGGUGGCGAGUGGCGAACGGGUGAGUAAUGUAUCGGAACGUACCCAGUCGUGGGGGAUAACGUAUCGAAAGUUACGCUAAUACCGCAUACGACCUCCGGGAGAAAGCAGGGGAUCGCAAGACCUUGCGCGAUUGGAGCGGCCGAUGUCAGAUUAGCUAGUUGGUGGGGUAAAGGCUCACCAAGGCGACGAUCCUGUGGCGGGUCUGAGAGGAUGAUCCGCCACACUGGAACUGAGACACGGUCCAGACUCCUACGGGAGGCAGCAGUGGGGAAUUUUGGACAAUGGGCGAAAGCCUGAUCCAGCCAUUCCGCGUGAGUGAUGAAGGCCUUCGGGUUGUAAAGCUC